GAGCCAUUUCAGACAAGCUGCAAAGACAAAGAGGAGCGAGCCUCUUGUCUUCCCUCUGCUCUCCUUUGGAGCCAGGAUCUCAAAGCUCUUUUCUGAGGAGGACCAGAAAUUCCUGGCUUUCACUCUAGCACCCACUGCAUUACUGUUGCUGCUCUCAAGAGAAUUAAUUCAUUUUCCACAGCUGUGCUGUCUUGUAACUUGUUCCUACAGGACAAACCACGCUUGUCCUUUCUCUAGCCCUGAGAGAGGGAGUGAAUGUUACAUCCUGCUGAUAAUCUCCAGAAGUGAUCCAUUUCUCCCUAAGCAUUUUAGUUAAAUUUCCAAACUUUGAAGAAAAGGUUUUGCUUGGCUGCUGGCCACAAUGAAGUGGGAAGACAAAGCAAUAAUAAACCUUACCACCCAAAAUAUUGGAUCAUUUUUUGCUUCCAUUAAGGACAAUACAGCUUUAUCACUGACUUCUUCAACACAGAGACUGAUAUAGGUAACCCCUAUAUCUGGGAUUUCUUCCAGUAUCUCUUCAGUGGAUGGGAAAGACAUGCAGAUUAUGAGACAAGCAGCAUCAGUGGAGAGUAUAUGAAGACCAGCUUGUCUGAAAAAUGCACAAAACAUCUUCUCAUAGAAACCACACAGGCAAUCCCUUCACUGUUCUUGGUCUCAUGAGCGAGGUACCCUGCAGACACAGGGUCUGAAUCCCUGCUUCUCCUUGCAGACAUUGAGGCUUGAUGAUGGUACUUGCUCUGACUCUAAAGAAGGUUGCACUUCCCUUUUCAGUCUUUGACUCUGCUGGGAGCUGUGCUUCCAGAGAGGAGUAGAAAUUCUUUUGUUAAAGGAGCAGCACACAGCUAAGAAUGUAUCAAGAGACUGGUCAGGCAACUUCCUCUAAGGUAAUCGGAUCUCUUCUCCAGUCAGAGAGACCUAACACAUCAGUCUUCAUAUAUCAUCUUCAUGAGCUAAAUUGCCAGAGAAGUUUAUGAUCUAACUUCAGAAAAAUUCUCUGUGAAAACAAAUCAUUUAUUUUUCCAGAUGCCUGGACUGGAGAAUGCAACAUGCGACAUUCAAGAGUCCUGCAACCUCUAACCCAAAACAAUAUGACUAAGAUUUACACUACCAGCAGGCCUCUUUCUUCUGGGGGAGAGGAGCCAAGAGGGAAUUUCCUACCUCUUCGUCUCAAGCAGGAUUAUCUUGUACUGGAAUUCCAGAACAGUGUGAAACAGAAGGAAGCAAAAGAAAUACAAAACUAACAUGGGAAAUAUUGGGAGAAAAAAGUGGAAAGAAAGAAAUCCUGCCAUUUCUGCUGAUCUACUUGAGCUUUCAAAUAGUUUUUCUUUUUGAGCUCUCAAAUAUGAAAGUUCAAAAUUCAAUGCAUUCGCAACAAAUUUGGAUACAUGGCUUGAUAAGGAGUAUGGCAGCACAGAACACUGACAUUUCACUUUUCUCUGUAAUUGAUACAGUGGAGAAUGGAAUUUGUGUAAACAAACACUUCUUAAGUACUGGGAUUUUUCUCCUCUUUAUCAUCUCCUUUUUACUAAGAAAAGAAAGGGAAGGCCAAUGUAAUGGGAAAUCAGAAUGAAAGUGUUUUAGGUAAAUUUAUACACACAGAUUUAGUCUCAAGAUUCAAAAUAUGUAGCAAGGAUUGUAAAAGAUAGAUCAAUGUGGAUCCAGUCUUCUCAUAAAAGUCAUGGAGAGAUUCUACUUUAAAGGUCCCUUUACCCAUUCAAGCUAAUCUUUCUAAGCUCCCCUUGCAGAUUCAGAGCCCCAAAGCCUAUUGCUCUGCAUUGACCCUUAGGAGCCUUAGUAAAUACCUCUUUCCUUUGUGACAUAUGUCCCACUAGCCAUCCUCAUCAAUAAAGGUUCCUUUGAUAGCUCCUAGAGAGAAAAGGUGGGCACCCCUCUCACCAUAAAGCAGAUAGAGUAGACAAAGUUACAGAAUAUUGUGAUUGUAAUUUGAGUCACUUUUUUUUUUCCUUCCACUGCUAAAUACCUUUUCUGAAGAAAAUCCAGAGAAAGUUGAUCAAUUUGAUGAAAGAUACAGCAAGUUUGUGUUGGAGGUGUUAACAAUCUUGAUGUAGGUUAUGUCUAUCUCUCUCUCAAAAUAAAUAAAUAAAUAAAUAAAUAAUUAAUUAAUUAAAUGGAAUACCUGGAAAUAUACCGAUGAAAAGGCUCUGUACUUGCUUGUACUGUGGCCCUGUGUUAGCUGGAAGACAUAGAUAAAAAUGAUGUGUAUUAGGUUUAAGUUUUAGUUUGUAAGGAAACAAUUGACUGGGAACAAUGACUGGAAUGAUAAAUACCAGUGAGAAGUCUUAUGCUGGUAGUGCAUUUGCCUACACUGAUUUUGAUACACUAAGCACAUUAAAGUUGUAAGAAAGCAGUCAUCAAAAUAGGAAGAGAUAUCUGUCAUUAGUUUUUAAAGGCCACUGCAUGCAAUUUAUUUUAAGAACCUCAUUUUGAUGGCAUUGGAUUGGUUAUUUUAAUGUUUUCAUGUGAACUGUAGUUUAUGACGAACUGUAGCUCUAUAAAUAAUAUAGCCUCUUAUUCUUUGAUGCUUAAACCACUAUGAUUUCAAUCCAUGGGCAAUUUCAUUUCUAAAGAAUGCACUGGAAAACUGACAGCUACGAUAACAACACACUAAUGAGAGAAAUAGCUCAAUUGAGAAUUUUUCCUUGGCACGUGUUUUGAUGACUUUAUAUAAUAUGGAGCUUAUGUUGAUAAAAUGUAAAAGCAGAUCUCUGCUAUUAGUUCUUUCUUGUUCAUUGGGUAUGAACCAUACUGUGUAAAAAUUCAUGAGGCUCCAUACUUUUUCCCUUAGUUGUUAUGCCUGGUGCUGCAAUGGGGCAACUGAUAGUGGGUUUGUUCAGCUGUUUUCCAGUAUGUUCAGAGAACAUCAAAUAUUUUUUGGGGGGGAAUUAAAGACUUGCAUUGAUUCUUGCAGCUAUUUCUGUGAGCUUGUGAAGGCCAAAACAGACAGAAAUGCACAACAUGGGUUAUAGGGCUGUCAACAAUUAGUUGAAAAUAAGAGGCUUCUUUCUGUAAAGGCAGCCCUAUAUUCACUCUUUCCCCUUUUUCUUCAUGUGUCCAACCAUAUGAUUGCAGCAGUGAAGUUUCCCCAGAAGUCAUCCUGAACAGGGCUUCCUGUAGCUACUUGUGUAUCUCCAUGAGAAGUGACCAUCUGUAGGUGGCCUGUCAGAUAGGAUUUUGCCUUUAAAUAAAGAGCUGAAUCUCUACUGAUCAGCAGCAUCUGAAACACACACACUUUUUGUCAUGUACAAUACAAGAUCCAUCAAGUAAAGCACCUGGGAAGGACGAAGAGGAGCCUUUGGUCAUGCAGGCUGAAAGCCUGAUAUGCUUCAUUGGAGGUUCCAGCCCUGCAAGGUGCAUGAGAACAAUUUUUAUAUAAAUUAUUGUGCUGUUUAAAGACUUUAAAUUGAUUUUACCACUUCAGUUAAUAUCUGUAACUUAGACCUAAAAUCAACGUGGGUAGCUAUUUCACUGCACUGUGCAAGAUAUUUUAGCUGGGAAUGAAAGAUGAAGGAGAAGGUUUAGAUUAAACCAACAUCAUUUUCUUUGAUCUUCUCAUAAAGGUUAAUAAGGAAUAAUUAUUUGUUCCUUUAACUUUCAUGGUUUGAUUGCCUCCUUUCUGAAUCUGGUCAUCUUUAAAAAGCUUGGCUUUCAAUAGCCCUGUGAAAAAUCUGGAUGAGUGGUCUACUGCCCUAGGGGAGUUUCCCUAUGCAGAAGAUGGUGUGACCUCCACUCAAAGAGUUUGCAUAUAUAAUUGCAUUUGUGAUAGGCUCUGCUUGUACAUAUAAUUUGAAAAUAAUUAGAGGGUUGUGAAUUUUCUCUGAAAAUUUGACCCACUACAUUUUCUUCUCUAGUUUCAGAUCACUCAUGUGGAAUAUGCAGUGCACUUUCGUGUCACAGGACACUCAAGUUCAUCAAACGAAUUAGUUAAAUUAAGCAUUUAGCAAUAUUACAGACAGGAUAUGCCUGAAUUAUUUGGUCUUUGAAAAUGCACUCAUACGUAUCAUGUACAAAGCUCUAUUUAUGUGUAUACUUAUGCCAGAAUGUGGACAAUGAUUAUCAUGUUCUAGGCCUGUGUAAUCACACAGCUUGGGAAUUUUGAAUAACUUGCUGCUUGAUCUCCAAUGGGUAUUAAGCUUAUGAUGUUUACAGAAGGUAGGUGCUCCCUUUCUAAAUGUUGCUAGCUGCUGCAUCCCCACUCAAAUUUUCAGCAGGUUCCAGGUGGCGAAGAACAUACAUUAGUCCUCAGCCAAAUGUCUCCAAGUGUGGAAAAAUUUGGCAUCUGGCAGUCUCUGAUCAUGUGCUAUAUCCAAGUCAAGCUAACCAGCCUGGGCCUUUGUUUUUUAACUCCUGUGAUUUGACAGAUCUGGCAGCAAAAGUGCAGAAGAGUUGAUUGAGACCCAGAAAUCUGUAGCUUUGCUUAGCUGCUGCGAAGGUUGUACAGCCCUAGACAGGCUAGAGUAAAAGUCUACAGACUGGAAGGCUCUCCCAGGGUGGAGAAAAAGGGAAAUAGACUUGAAGGGGGAAUUACAAAUGAGCUGAGAGAGGAGCUCACUGACUUGGGAACCUCACUCUCUGGGGGAGUUUUACAAUGUCAUGGAAGACUCCGUUUUGCUUAUUCUGUUAGAAACUGGGAAGCCUUUCUCCUGGCUGGGUGAUUAUUUAACUUGCAAGGCAAAAGCCAUUUUCUUCUGGCGUGAGUCAGUAAAUUAGUCAUAUAGAUAUCAACAUGUAUCUGCCAAUGUAAAUCAAAGAAAUAGGCAUUUCCAUAUGCUUUUUGGCAUUCUAUAGUUCUUUCUCUAAUCUAUGUGACUGCAGGCUUCCUACUGCUACUCAGCAGUAACUAUCAAAGGGCAAGGAAGUACAAAGCUGAUACACAGUAAAUUAAUUAUAUUUUUUAAAGUUCAUAUUAUAGAUAAUUGAAAUACAGAACAAUGUCAUCAAAGGCAGUGCUGAACAUGGAAAAAUGAACACAUGCCUUCUGGAACAGCAAUGGUAUCUUUUGUGUUCUUAGAUAACAUUUCUGAAGUAACAAAAUAGGUUUAAACAGGAACUGUUUCUAGACUGUAGCUUGAGUGCCAAUUUUCAACAAAAGAUGCAUUUUCCAUGCAGUUCCUGAAUUACUAAAAUUGAGAUUUUCAUGUAGAAAUGCACAGCUGUUGCUGCAGCAGUGUGGUGUCAGUAAUUAUGAUUAAAACAGAAGAGGUACCAGCACAAGCAGAAUAACUACAUAUAUUUAAAUCUUUCCCAAAACCAAUAUCGUGGCAACUGAAACAAUGUAUGUAUGUAUCUAUAUUUCAUCACCUGCUGCAAAAAAUUAUUUAUUUGUGUUAUUAUUGCUUAUAGAAUCUCCAUCCCAAACCAGGACUCUACAGUCAUCUGCUGGUACAUAUCUUUCAUGGGAUAUGGGCAAAAUGGACACUAUGGAUAUAGUGAUAAUGGUCACUGUGCUUGGUUCCAGCCCAUCAAUAGCCUAAGUGCGAUAAAUAUUCUCUAGGUGUCACUGAAAGGUGUCACUUCCUCCUUUGAGGAAGGAUUCGAAGGGGCAUAUAAAUUAAAAGAUAAACUCUUUUCAAAGUGAGAGAUGAGAGCCAACACCAAAACCAAGUGAACAUUGCUCAAACAUACAAUGAGUAAAAGAUACCAGAUGAUAUUACAAGCAGAGAGAUGAGUCAGCACUAUAACAAUGAUCAGCAUCUUCGUGAAAGUGAAAUGGGGGCAUGCUACAGAUGAAGACAAAAAGCUUACACUUGCUGUGAUAGAGAAGGAUUAUCCAGUGAGUAGUCCCACAACUUCUGGUAAUAAUCUGAACAUGUAUAAGUGUUGGCCUCUGCUGAAAACGAGGUGUGAUCCGUACAAACACAAGAGGCAGACAAACCCCGUCUCAAGGAGUUUUGGCUAUACAUACUGUUAAUGAGGAUUUGGUAACUGAGUCAUGUGCAGUUGUUAGUUUAAAAAUCUUGGCCGAGCAGAGGUAUGUGGAUGAGUGAUAAUUCUUAAGAUGAGUAUCAGUUUUCCAUUACAAGUUGGGGCUAUAAUUUUCCAUUUAUUUUAACUUGCAUGAAAUUCAUUCUAAAGUCAAUCUUCUUGCAUCUGUUUUGCUUUAAUACGGAUAAAGUAUGCAAGUAGACUAGGAGCUACAGAGAUAAUCAGAAGCAAAAACUUGUAAUGGGUAGAGGAAGAGAAUCUAUGUGGUUAUUAAAUUUCCACCAAAAUUUUCAUAUUUCUCUCUUGAGACCAGAUAAAAAGGCCCAUGAAAUGAAAAAAGCCCUCGCACUAUCUUGCUUGGGCUUUGGGUUUGUCUCUCAUACCUUAUCAGUUGCACCACCAAGUAGACCAAAUAAAUCAAUGGGGAUGAAUAUUACAUUGGUAUGAAAUAAUCCAUAGGGUUAUGGAAGUUGCCACCAAGGAUGGAUUCUGUAGUACAGUUAAUUCACAAAGUCAUUCAAAACAAAAAGUGUGGGUGUUCUGGGAUAAUAAGGAUUCCAAUAAACCACUAUUGAUUUGGUAUGGUACAAAUAACACCUCUGAAAACACUGAUCUGAUGGAAGCACCUUCCAGCUGUCAUUAGCGUUCCACACUCCCCUGCUUGCAUUGCAUGUUUCAUUGCAAGCAUUAUAGCUUGACAACCUGCUAGGGAGUUUUGAAACAGGAACGAACAAAAGCAGAACAUUCUCUCAAAAAAAUUCAGCUCAUGCCAUGGUUAACUCAGCUCUUGUUUUUCCAACUACCCUCCAGACGUACCCCAGAUUUACAGUUUUCACAAGCAGCUUCUAAACAAGACAAAAUUUGUAUGUUUUAUACUUUUUUUUUUUGUCAGGGCAAUUAACAUAUAUUGUUAGUUCGUUGCCUGUUACAUGUGGAAAAAAUACAUGCUGUAGCUUGCCCCCUUCUGUCUUGUCUUUGUCACUUUGCUACUCCUCUGAGAAAGGCACCGGUCAGUCUCUUUGUGGCUGCAUAAGGAUGCACCUUGCCUGAAGCUGGGAGUGUAACAAGUGACAGUGAAAGAGGAUGGGUUGCAGGACAGUCUUAGGAGGACUUGUUUUGACUAAGAAAAAGGUCAAAUUCAGGUCAGCCUUUAAAAAAAACAAAAAAAAA